UACAGAGGGGGCAAGCGUUAUUCGGAAUUAUUGGGCGUAAAGGGCGCGUAGGCGGCUUGGCAAGUGGAUGGUGAAAUCCCUCGGCUUAACCGAGGAACUGCCGUCCAAACUGCUUCGCUUGAGACCGGGAGAGGUGAGUGGAAUUCCCAGUGUAGCGGUGAAAUGCGUAGAGAUUGGGAGGAACACCAGUGGCGAAGGCGGCUCACUGGACCGGUACUGACGCUGAUGCGCGAAAGCGUGGGUAGCAAACAGG
rnacentral:rRNA from 1 species